rnacentral:siRNA from 1 species
CACCUUACACCAUCAUCAAGUCCU